UACGGGGGGGGCGAGCGUUGUUCGGAAUUACUGGGCGUAAAGGGCGCGUAGGCGGUCCGCUAAGUUGAAUGUGAAAACUCUGGGCCUAACCCAGAGCCUGCAUUCAAUACUGACGGGCUCGAGUUCUGGAGGGGAUAGCGGAAUUCCUGGUGUAGCGGUGAAAUGCGUAGAUAUCAGGAGGAACACCGGUGGCGAAGGCGGCUAUCUGGACAGAGUCUGACGCUGAGGCGCGAAAGCUAGGGGAGCAAACAGG
rnacentral:rRNA from 1 species